AGAGUUUGAUCCUGGCUCAGGAUGAACGCUGGCGGCGUGCUUAACACAUGCAAGUCGAACGGGAAAUAUUUCAUUGAGACUUCGGUGGAUUUGAUCUAUUUCUAGUGGCGGACGGGUGAGUAACGCGUGGGUAACCUGCCUUAUACAGGGGGAUAACAGUCAGAAAUGGCUGCUAAUACCGCAUAAGCGCACAGAGCUGCAUGGCUCAGUGUGAAAAACUCCGGUGGUAUAAGAUGGACCCGCGUUGGAUUAGCUUGUUGGUGGGGUAACGGCCCACCAAGGCGACGAUCCAUAGCCGGCCUGAGAGGGUGAACGGCCACAUUGGGACUGAGACACGGCCCAGACUCCUACGGGAGGCAGCAGUGGGGAAUAUUGCACAAUGGGGGAAACCCUGAUGCAGCGACGCCGCGUGAGUGAAGAAGUAUCUCGGUAUGUAAAGCUCUAUCAGCAGGGAAGAAAAUGACGGUACCUGACUAAGAAGCCCCGGCUAACUACGUGCCAGCAGCCGCGGUAAUACGUAGGGGGCAAGCGUUGUCCGGAAUAAUUGGGCGUAAAGGGCGCGUAGGCGGCUCGGUAAGUCUGGAGUGAAAGUCCUGCUUUUAAGGUGGGAAUUGCUUUGGAUACUGUCGGGCUUGAGUGCAGGAGAGGUUAGUGGAAUUCCCAGUGUAGCGGUGAAAUGCGUAGAGAUUGGGAGGAACACCAGUGGCGAAGGCGACUAACUGGACUGUAACUGACGCUGAGGCGCGAAAGUGUGGGGAGCAAACAGGAUUAGAUACCCUGGUAGUCCACACUGUAAACGAUGAAUGCUAGGUGUAGGGGGUAUCGACCCCUUCUGUGCCGCAGUCAACACAAUAAGCAUUCCGCCUGGGGAGUACGGCCGCAAGGUUGAAACUCAAAGGAAUUGACGGGGGCCCGCAC
rnacentral:rRNA from 1 species